UAUAAAUUGCUCAUGCCCAUCGGGAGAGAAGUUCGUCAAAAAGAGAGAGAAGACCCGAAUCUGGAGGCUAACGAGUGGAUGUACUGAGAUGAAACGUCCACUCGCUUGGCUUGUGGAUAAACUGUGAAAAGGCGUCAUUAUAUUGCAACGCGAGUCCAGAAGUAGUACCGACUAUUAAUUUGUUCCUUUUUAGAGAUUGUAAGAAUACUGUAAAAUAUUCUGAAAUAAAACGAUUUGAAACCAGUCAAA